GCCUACGGCCAUGCCACCCUGAACAAGCCCAAUCCCGUCUGAUCUCAGAAGCUAAGCAGGGUCGGUCCUGGUUAGUACUUGGAUGGGAGACCACCUAGGCAGACCAGGUGCUGUAGGAG
rnacentral:rRNA from 1 species